rnacentral:rRNA from 1 species
CUACGGGAGGCAGCAGUGGGGAAUCUUGCGCAAUGGGCGAAAGCCUGACGCAGCAACGCCGCGUGGGGGAUGAAGGCUCUCGGGUUGUAAACCCCUUUCAGCAGGGACGAAUUUUGACGGUACCUGCAGAAGAAGCCCCGGCUAACUACGUGCCAGCAGCCGCGGUAACACGUAGGGGGCAAGCGUUGUCCGGAUUUAUUGGGCGUAAAGAGCUCGUAGGCGGCUCAGUAAGUCGGGUGUCAAAUCCUCAGGCUCAACCUGGGGCUGCACUCGAUACUGCUGUGGCUAGAGUCCGGUAGGGGAGCAUGGAAUUCCUGGUGUAGCGGUGAAAUGCGUAGAUAUCGGGAGGAACGCCAAAAGCGAAAGCAGCCGGCUGGGUCGAGACUGACACUGAGGGACGAAAGCGUGGGUAGCGAACAGGAUUAGAAACCCGAGUAGUCC